rnacentral:rRNA from 1 species
AAUGAACGCUGGCGGCAUGCCUAACACAUGCAAGUCGAACGAAGGCUUCGGCCUUAGUGGCGCACGGGUGCGUAACGCGUGGGAAUCUGCCCCUUGGUUCGGAAUAACAGUUAGAAAUGACUGCUAAUACCGGAUGAUGACGUAAGUCCAAAGAUUUAUCGCCGAGGGAUGAGCCCGCGUAGGAUUAGCUAGUUGGUGUGGUAAGAGCGCACCAAGGCGACGAUCCUUAGCUGGUCUGAGAGGAUGAUCAGCCACACUGGGACUGAGACACGGCCCAGACUCCUACGGGAAGCAGCAGUGGGGAAUAUUGGCCAAUGGGCGAAAGCCUGAUCCAGCAAUGCCGCGUGAGUGAUGAAGGCCUUAGGGUUGUAAAGCUCUUUUACCCGGGAUGAUAAUGACAGUACCGGGAGAAUAAGCUUCGGCUAACUCCGUG